UGAAGAGGGCUUUGUCCGCCGCCGACCGACGCGACCCCUUCCCACUAAAAACGCCGCAGCAGAACAGGCUGCUCUCCUCCUUCUCCAGCAGGCCGUCGUCGGGCGACAGUGCCGUCUCACACUCACCUCGGAGAUGUUUCCAUGCUUCGACCGUCGCGGCAGCAACUCGGCGAGAAGGUUCUUCACUGAAGCUGGGAGAGCGAGUCGAGUGAGAGGGUCUCAGAGAGAGAGAGGACAACGACUCGGAGGCGCGAGGAGGAACCACAGAUGAGCGGGAAGGCAGCAGCCAGGCGACGAGUCGGCGCCAACGAUUGCCCAAGCUCUGCGGUCCUUUACAGUUUGAGGUGGUGUGGGCCAAUUAAUGUGGGAGGAAACCGGAGCACCUGAAGAAUAACUAAAUAAAAAAAUGUUUACCAGGUAAAGCUAAGUCAGCUA